CGGGAAGGCCUUGGAAGGGUUAUGGAUAUUUUGUCAGGUAAAGGAUGGAGAAUUAGCCCAGUUCCUCCUUUCAUCCUUGUCAUUCAGAAUCCGCUGGGGAAGGAAGGAAGGAAGGAAGCUGACCCUCCUGAUAGGGAAUGAAGUGAAGGUCUCUGAGAGCUUUUCUGCUGAGGUUUCUUCCCUGGAGAACUCUAACAGACACUUGGGAUACAGAGCUCUGAGCAACAGGCAGCCACAGCAGGUGCCUUUCGCAACAAGGAAAGUCACUGGGGUCCAGAGGGUAAAGCUUAUCUCUUCCUCUCCAAAUAGCAUCUGAACUUGCAGGUUUGUCUGGACAAACAUGGAUCAAAGAGUGUAAUAAGGAUUGGAAGACACUAGGACAUCCCAGCGACUGGGAUGGAGAUGGGGGAGAUUAGGUGGAACAGUUAUUUGGAGGGCUGAACUCUUCUGUGUACACAUAUCCACAACAAGAUAUGCAAGGCAGGGUGGGGCUCCCUCCUGGGAGGAAAGCUGCUGUUUCCCUGCAGAGCCCGGUGGAUCGGCUAGGAGGCCACAGCUGCUGAGCCAUAGGAAAGGCCUGCCCGCAUCUGUGCUCACAUCUCCGUGUCCCCUUGGGUGGGGAUAAGAGGGCUCCACUUCCUCCAAGCUGUCACUGAAUCUUGCCAGUGCCCCCACGAAGCAGAAAGAUACUUCGUUAUUCCAUUCGGCUAUUCCCUGACGUGCUCCCUGUGCUGCUUCGGUACCUAAAGACCAUCGACGACGGAGAAGAAAACAAGUUUCGAUAAAAUGGGGGGGAAUAUUUGUGUGGUAUUUACUUUUCAGAAACAAGCCAUUACACCGGCUGCGGAAAAAGGCAAAAGCAAAUCGCACAAAAACGUCUCUCAAUGAAGGUAAAAUUCGGCCGUCUGCUACGGCGAGAGAUUUUAAAACAACUAGUCACCUGUCAAAUGUCUUAGUUAAUUAAAAAAGUAUCUUCCUUUAAAUUGUUCAGGGCUGCUAAGCUGUUUAAUAUCAAAGUGGGUUUUAGAUGCUACGCAACACUUUCGAAGAACAGACUACGGUCACCUAAAACGAUUUUAGUUGUGCUUCCACGUGAGAGGCACAUUAUUGAGUCAAUAAAAUGUCCCGUAGAGGUUCACAAAUCUCUCCAAAAUUGUGUUUACUUAACAUAAAUUAAUUCGUUUCGGACGUCGAAGAGCAUAUUAAAGUAGUAUUUCUCA